rnacentral:rRNA from 1 species
UACGAAGGGGGGCUAGCGUUGCUCGGAAUUACUGGGCGUAAAGGGCGCGUAGGCGGAUAGUUUAGUCAGAGGUAAAAGCCCAGGGCUCAACCUUGGAACUGCCUUUGAUACUGGCUAUCUUGAGUUCGGGAGAGGUGAGUGGAAUGCCGAGUGUAGAGGUGAAAUUCGUAGAUAUUCGCAAGAACACCAGUGGCGAAGGCGGACUCACUGGCCCGAUACUGACGCUGAGGCACGAAAGCGUGGGGAGCAAACAGGG